AGUGAACGCUGGCGGUAGGCCUAACACAUGCAAGUCGAACGGCAGCACAGUAAGAGCUUGCUCUUACGGGUGGCGAGUGGCGGACGGGUGAGGAAUACAUCGGAAUCUACUUUUUCGUGGGGGAUAACGUAGGGAAACUUACGCUAAUACCGCAUACGACCUACGGGUGAAAGCAGGGGAUCUUCGUACCUUGCGCGAUUGAAUGAGCCGAUGUCGGAUUAGCUAGUUGGCGGGGUAAAGGCCCACCAAGGCGACGAUCCGUAGCUGGUCUGAGAGGAUGAUCAGCCACACUGGAACUGAGACACGGUCCAGACUCAUACGGGAGGCAGCAGUGGGGAAUAUUGGACAAAGGGCGCAAGCCUGAUCCAGCCAUACCGCGUGGGUGAAGAAGGCCUUCGGGUUGUAAAGCCCUUUUGUUGGGAAAGAAAAGCAGCAGGUUAAUACCCCGCUGUUCUGACGGUACCCAAAGAAUAAGCACCGGCUAACUUCGUG
rnacentral:rRNA from 1 species